rnacentral:rRNA from 1 species
CUACGGGUGGCUGCAGUGGGGAAUAUUGGACAAUGGGCGAAAGCCUGAUCCAGCAAUGCCACGUGAGUGAUGAAGGCCUUCGGGUUGUAAAGCUCUUUCAACAAGGAAGAUAAUGACGGUACUUGUAUAAGAAGCACCGGCUAACUCCGUGCCAGCAGCCGCGGUAAUACGGAGGGUGCUAGCGUUGUUCGGAAUUACUGGGCGUAAAGAGCGCGUAGGCGGCUUAUUAAGUUAGAAGUGAAAUCCCAGGGCUUAACCCUGGAACUGCUUUUAAAACUAAUUUGCUAGAGUUAGGUAGAGGAUAGUGGAAUUCCCAAUGUAGAGGUGAAAUUCGUAGAUAUUGGGAGGAACACCAGAAGCGAAGGCGGCUAUCUGGACCUUAACUGACGCUGAGGCGCGAAAGUGUGGGGAGCAAACAGGAUUAGAUACCCUCGUAGUC